CCCAUUUUCUCCCGGCGCGGGUGGAGCCCGGCGGUGACCCAGGCCUCCGCCCCCGCGAACCGCGCACCCGCGACCUUUGCUCCGGCCGCCGCUCUGGGCACAAACUUUCGGAAAGCGAAGGCCCUUCCGGGGCAGGAAGGCCGGGGAUGUUGACGGGUUGGCGGGAUGAAUGACCCUGGCCCUGGGGGAAGGGGAAUCUCGUCCAGGCUGGACAAGGUGCUGAGCAGAAGAGAAGAAAGAAACUAUUUCUGAGUUGUGAUGAAAAGCCAGGCCUGGAGUGGGUAUGUAGCUUCAAAUUACAUCAUUGGUGGGGUCAAAAAAGAGAAAAAUACUCAAGCUGUAUAUUUAAAGUGACUGCAGAUUGGCAGUGUUCAGGUAACUGGUAGAAGCUAAUUCCUUCAAAUAAGUUUUUGAAGAGAAUGGACAGUCAGAAAUAUUCCAGCACACAGAAAUGACAGAAUGCAGAAGCCAACAUUUGUAAAUAUUUCAUAUAUUGGAAUUAUUAAACCAAGACUAUAAUCUCUGA